rnacentral:rRNA from 1 species
GAUGAACGCUAGCGGCAGGCUUAACACAUGCAAGUCGAGGGGUAUAGCACUUCGGUGCUAGAGACCGGCGCACGGGUGCGUAACGCGUAUGCAAUCUGCCUUUCACAGAGGGAUAGCCCAGAGAAAUUUGGAUUAAUACCUCAUAGUAUUAUGACUCGGCAUCGAGAUAUAAUUAAAGUCACAACGGUGAAAGAUGAGCAUGCGUCCCAUUAGCUAGUUGGUAAGGUAACGGCUUACCAA